rnacentral:lncRNA from 1 species
AAAUGGCGACAGGGGUGGAGCAAGAGGAUCUGUGAAGGACGUGAAGCUUUGACCAGGCUGUGCGGCAGGCUGUAUUAUGAUUGGCUGGAGGCACUGUUCUGCUGCCUUCUCUGUGUCCUGUGACAUCACCUACGUGUCUCACCGUUAGCAGACUCUCUCAACCCCAGGUAAGUAGAGCUGCUGGUUGGCCAUAGCCUAGCCUCAGGAGGGUAGCUCUGAGGAGCAGCCCAUGACAGAAUUCCACUAAGGCGGAGAAAAAUUCGAACAGUACUCUUGGUGGCACUGGAGGCCCUCGGCAGCUGGUGAAAUAUCUGAGCCUUUCUUUCUGUCUAGAUCCAGGAACAGGAGGAGCCACACCCAACAGCUAUAAAGGCAGGAAGCAUCCACAAGACUGAAGCACAAAAACAUGAAAACCAAGUGUGUGUGCACAACGUUCCAACUAACCGUCAUGCAGAAGUCUGUUUCACACACAUCAGAUGGCACCCUGUGUGACACAACGCAGAACCCGCAGACCCCUGUGUGUGGAUUCUACGGACUGUUAGGGGAAGAUUGUCUCUGUCCAUUGGGAGGGAAGGACUACAAGCUGCAAACAGUCAGAUGGAUUUUGUAAAUCAGGUUGCUCAUGUAUUCUUUUUUUUGAAAAAGGAUUUUUGAGAGCGUUGUCAUCUCACAGCAAAAUUAAAACAAAGGCACAGAGAUUUCCCAUGAAUCUCUCAAGGCCUGCAUUUAUCCAGUCUUCCCCAUUAACACACUGGGAGGCUGAGACUGGAGGACUGCAAGUUCCAGCCCAGCCUGGAUGACUUAUCAAGGACGCUGUCUGAAAAUAAAGAAAAAUAAAAGGCCUGGGAAUUUAAACAUAGGAUGUUUGGACUGUAUCCAAUAGAAUCACAUGAAUGCUGUCUCAUACUUGAACAGUUCAAAGUUUCUGGGCUGGAACCUAGGAUCUAUAAACACACUUACAGGUUAUUCUUACUUCUGCUGUCGUCUUAACACCACAACAGAGUCCCAGCUGUGCUUCGGGAAUGAAGAGGGACCAGUGUUCCUCACAGAGAUCACCAGACCAGGGAGCCAG